rnacentral:rRNA from 1 species
GGGGAAUAUUGCGCAAUGGGGGAAACCCUGACGCAGCAACGCCGCGUGAAGGAUGAAGGCUUUCGGGCUGUAAACUUCUUUGAUCGGGGACGAAAACUGACGGUACCCGAGGAACAAGCCACGGCUAACUACGUGCCAGCAGCCGCGGUAAUACGUAGGUGGCGAGCGUUGUCCGGAAUUACUGGGUGUAAAGGGCGUGUAGGCGGGAUGUCAAGUCAGAUGUGAAAUACCGAGGCUUAACUUCGGGGGUGCAUCUGAAACUGAUAUUCUUGAGUGUCGGAGAGGAAAGUGGAAUUCCCAGUGUAGCGGUGAAAUGCGUAGAGAUUGGGAGGAACACCAGUGGCGAAGGCGGCUUUCUGGACGAUAACUGACGCUGAGGCGCGAAAGCGUGGGUAGCAAAC